rnacentral:rRNA from 1 species
GAUGAACGCUGGCGGCGUGCCUAAUACAUGCAAGUCGAGCGAACGGACGAGAAGCUUGCUUCUCUGAUGUUAGCGGCGGACGGGUGAGUAACACGUGGAUAACCUACCUAUAAGACUGGGAUAACUUCGGGAAACCGGAGCUAAUACCGGAUAAUAUUUUGAACCGCAUGGUUCAAAAGUGAAAGACGGUCUUGCUGUCACUUAUAGAUGGAUCCGCGCUGCAUUAGCUAGUUGGUAAGGUGACGGCUUACCAAGGCAACGAUGCAUAGCCGACCUGAGAGGGUGAUCGGCCACACUGGAACUGAGACACGGUCCAGACUCCUACGGGAGGCAGCAGUAGGGAAUCUUCCGCAAUGGGCGAAAGCCUGACGGAGCAACGCCGCGUGAGUGAUGAAGGUCUUCGGAUCGUAAAACUCUGUUAUUAGGGAAGAACAUAUGUGUAAGUAACUGUGCACAUCUUGACGGUACCUAAUCAGAAAGCCACGGCUAACUACGU